CGAAGAGUCGAGUUGUUUGGGAAUGCAGCUCUAAGUGGGUGGUAAAUUCCAUCUAAAGCUAAAUAUUGGCGAGAGACCGAUAGCGAACAAGUACAGUGAUGGAAAGAUGAAAAGCACUUUGAAAAGAGAGUGAAACAGUACGUGAAAUUGUUGAAAGGGAAGGGCUUGCAAGCAGACACGGUCUUCGGGCCGGGCCAGCAUCGGUUGCCAGGGGUGGAUAUCCCGCGAGAAAUGUGGCUUUGUCCUCUGGGCAAAGUGUUAUAGUCUCGCGCUGUACACCCACCGGCGACCGAGGCCUGCGAUCUUCGGAUCUAGGAUGCUGGCGUAAUGGUUGCAAGCCGCCCGUCUUGAAACACGGACCAAGGAGUCUAACGUCUAUGCGAGUGUUUGGGUGGAUAAAACCCCAGCGCGGAAUGAAAGUAAGAGAUUGGAGCCUUUUCGGAGGCGCACAAUCGACCGACCCUGAAGUGCUCGGACGGGUUUGAGUAGGAGCAUAGCUGUUGGGACCCGAAAGAUGGUGAACUAUGCCUGGAUAGGGUGAAGCCAGAGGAAACUCUGGUGGAGGCUCGUAGCGGUUCUGACGUGCAAAUCGAUCGUCGAAUCUGGGUAUAGGGGCGAAAGACUAAUCGAAC
rnacentral:rRNA from 1 species